rnacentral:rRNA from 1 species
GCGCGGCUACACAUGCAGUCGAGCGGUAGCACAGAGAGCUUGCUCUCGGGUGACGAGCGGCGGACGGGUGAGUAAUGUCUGGGAAACUGCCUGAUGGAGGGGGAUAACUACUGGAAACGGUAGCUAAUACCGCAUAACGUCGCAAGACCAAAGUGGGGGACCUUCGGGCCUCAUGCCAUCAGAUGUGCCCAGAUGGGAUUAGCUAGUAGGUGGGGUAAUGGCUCACCUAGGCGACGAUCCCUAGCUGGUCUGAGAGGAUGACCAGCCACACUGGAACUGAGACACGGUCCAGACUCCUACGGGAGGCAGCAGUGGGGAAUAUUGCACAAUGGGCGCAAGCCUGAUGCAGCCAUGCCGCGUGUAUGAAGAAGGCCUUCGGGUUGUAAAGUACUUUCAGCGAGGAGGAAGGCGUUAAGGUUAAUAACCUUGGCGAUUGACGUUACUCGCAGAAGAAGCACCGGCUAACUCCGUGCCAGCAGCCGCGGUAAUACGGAGGGUGCAAGCGUUAAUCGGAAUUACUGGGCGUAAAGCGCACGCAGGCGGUCUGUCAAGUCGGAUGUGAAAUCCCCGGGCUCAACCUGGGAACUGCAUUCGAAACUGGCAGGCUAGAGUCUUGUAGAGGGGGGUAGAAUUCCAGGUGUAGCGGUGAAAUGCGUAGAGAUCUGGAGGAAUACCGGUGGCGAAGGCGGCCCCCUGGACAAAGACUGACGCUCAGGUGCGAAAGCGUGGGGAGCAAACAGGAUUAGAUACCCUGGUAGUCCACGCCGUAAACGAUGUCGACUUGGAGGUUGUGCCCUUGAGGCGUGGCUUCCGGAGCUAACGCGUUAAGUCGACCGCCUGGGGAGUACGGCCGCAAGGUUAAAACUCAAAUGAAUUGACGGGGGCCCGCACAAGCGGUGGAGCAUGUGGUUUAAUUCGAUGCAACGCGAAGAACCUUACCUACUCUUGACAUCCAGAGAACUUAGCAGAGAUGCUUUGGUGCCUUCGGGAACUCUGAGACAGGUGCUGCAUGGCUGUCGUCAGCUCGUGUUGUGAAAUGUUGGGUUAAGUCCCGCAACGAGCGCAACCCUUAUCCUUUGUUGCCAGCGGUCCGGCCGGGAACUCAAAGGAGACUGCCAGUGAUAAACUGGAGGAAGGUGGGGAUGACGUCAAGUCAUCAUGGCCCUUACGAGUAGGGCUACACACGUGCUACAAUGGCAUAUACAAAGAGAAGCGACCUCGCGAGAGCAAGCGGACCUCAUAAAGUAUGUCGUAGUCCGGAUUGGAGUCUGCAACUCGACUCCAUGAAGUCGGAAUCGCUAGUAAUCGUAGAUCAGAAUGCUACGGUGAAUACGUUCCCGGGCCUUGUACACACCGCCCGUCACACCAUGGGAGUGGGUUGCAAAAGAAGUAGGUAGCUUAACCUUCGGGAGGGCGCUACCACUUGAUCGUUUCG